rnacentral:rRNA from 1 species
GACGAACGCUGGCGGCGUGCCUAAUACAUGCAAGUAGAACGCAGUUGCGAACGGGUGAGUAACGCGUAGGUAACUGCCUGGUAGCGGGGGAUAACUAUUGGAAACGAUAGCUAAUACCGCAUACUACCAGAUGGACCUGCGUUGUAUUAGAUAGUGGGUGAGGUAACGGCUCACCAAGGCAACGAUACAUUGCCGACCGUGUAAGGUGAUCGACCAAGCUGGGACGGAGACACGGCCCAGACUCCUACGGAAGGCAGCAGUAGGGAAACUUCGGCAAUGGGGGGAACCCUGACCGAGCAACGCCGCGGGAGUGAAGAAGGUUUUCGGAUCGGAAAGCUCUGGUGUUAAGGAAGCGGUACUUAACCAGAAAGGGACGGCUAACUACGUGCCAGCAGCCGCGGUAAUAC